rnacentral:rRNA from 1 species
CCUACGGGAGGCAGCAGUGAGGAAUAUUGGUCAAUGGGCGGAAGCCUGAACCAGCCAAGUCGCGUGAGGGAUUAAGGCCCUAUGGGUCGUACACCUCUUUUGUCAGGGAGCAAUGGCGUCCACGUGUGGGCGUAUGGAGAGUACCUGAAGAAAAAGCAUCGGCUAACUCCGUGCCAGCAGCCGCGGUAAUACGGAGUAUGCGAGCGUGAUCCGGAUUUAUUGGGUUUAAAGGGUGCGUAGGCGGGACCUUAAGUCAGCGGUAAAAUUGCGGUGCUCAACCCCGGCCCGCCGUUGAAACUGGCAGUCGCGAGUGGGAGAGAAGUAUGCGGAAUGCGCGGUGUAGCGGUGAAAUGCAUAGAUAUCGCGCAGAACUCCGAUUGCGAAGGCAGCAUGCCGGCUCCACACUGACGCUGAGGCACGAAAGCGUGGGUUUCGAACAGGAUUAGAUACCCUUGUAGUC